AGAGGCUUAGGAUAAAUUAGACCGAAGACCUUCAAAGCCUUAAGCAGGAGUGAAAAUCUCCUAGCCUCUG
rnacentral:tRNA from 1 species